AGAGUUUGAUCCUGGCUCAGGAUGAACGCUGGCGGCGUGCCUAAUACAUGCAAGUCGAACGCGAGCAGCAUGCUCGAGUGGCGAACGGGUGAGUAAUACAUAAGUAACCUGCCCUAGACAGGGGGAUAACUGCUGGAAACGGCAGCUAAGACCGCAUAGGUAUGGACACUGCAUGGUGACCAUAUUAAAAGUGCCAAGGCACUGGUAGAGGAUGGACUUAUGGCGCAUUAGCUGGUUGGUGAGGUAACGGCUCACCAAGGCGACGAUGCGUAGCCGACCUGAGAGGGUGACCGGCCACACUGGGACUGAGACACGGCCCAGACUCCUACGGGAGGCAGCAGUAGGGAAUUUUCGGCAAUGGGGGGAACCCUGACCGAGCAACGCCGCGUGAAGGAAGAAGGAAUUCGUUCUGUAAACUUCUGUUAUAAAGGAAGAACGGCGGAUAUAGGGAAUGAUAUCCGAGUGACGGUACUUUAUGAGAAAGCCACGGCUAACUACGUGCCAGCAGCCGCGGU
rnacentral:rRNA from 1 species